rnacentral:lncRNA from 1 species
GGAAACUAAUACAGAACCUACAGUCUCUUCCUGAGGGUGAAUCUGAGUGGAGUACUAGGAUGCUAGGGCAGACUUCAUUGCAACAGCUGAGUCCUUUAACAGCCUCACCGCAUUUAAUUUCUCCUGUAGGACACCUGGGAUCCUUAUGCAAGUGAACCAUGUCUCAUCUCCUUUCUACUAACACCCAGAUGCACCGCUCAAAUCCUCAUUCAGGAUCCUGUUACAUGCACCAGCGCUGUAUGUAGGACACAGAGUGGUAAGAUGGCUGCUGUGCCUCUGCUACCUGUUCUAUCCGCAUUCCAAGUCAGAAUGAACCAGGAAGAAGAACAAAAGGAACAAAGCUCAGUGCCAGGUAAGUCCGCCCACUUUUAUUAGGCAAGCGGUCUCCUUCCAAACCUCCACCCUCUAGACUUACUGAUUCACCUCUGUCUGAAAAGAUGUUUGGGGUGGGGGAGAGUAGUUAUUGGUUUUCACUGGGCACUUGCUUCUUUGGGCAAAUUCAGGAGUUUCUUCAGUAAGACAAAAGGGGAGAUUGCCUCUGACAUAGGGCCCUGGCAAAGACCACCACACCUCCUCUUGAACGGGAAUGUGUUUUGAAACGUUAGCAUAUUAAGCCAUUACUAAGCUAAAAAAAAUUGGGGUAUGGUAGCCUGUUACUCUUUUCCUUCCACUAAAAGAACCAAGGGCUGUCUAGGGACACUGGACUCUGUGACGUGGGGUUGUUG